AUUGAACGCUGGCGGCAUGCUUUACACAUGCAAGUCGAACGGGUGUAGCAAUACGCUAGUGGCGAACGGGUGAGUAAUGCAUCGGAGCGUACCGUGUAGUGGGGGAUAACCCGGCGAAAGUCGGAUUAAUACCGCAUGAGAUCUACGGAUGAAAGCAGGGGAUCGCAAGACCUUGCGCUAUAUGAGCGGCCGAUGUCGGAUUAGCUAGUUGGUGGGGUAAAGGCCUACCAAGGCAACGAUCCGUAGCGGGUCUGAGAGGACGACCAGCCACACUGGGACUGAGACACGGCCCAGACUCGUACGGGAGGCAGCAGUGGGGAAUUUUGGACAAUGGGCGAAAGCCUGAUCCAGCAAUGCCGCGUGCAGGAAGAAGGCCUUCGGGUUGUAAACUGCUUUUGUACGGAGCGAAAAGGCCCUCUCUAAUACAGUGGGCUCAUGACGGUACCGUAAGAAUAAGCACCGGCUAACUACGUGCCAGCCGCCGCGGUAA
rnacentral:rRNA from 1 species